CAUUAAUCCAUUAAAGGUUUCACACCAGUUGUUGUUUGGCACUCGUCAGUUUCACCCCACGUGUAAUACGCUCUGCGAUAUCUACAAGUGGCGCCACCUACACCACAGCCUCCUCCCUCCUCUCUGUCAAACCACAGCUCUCUGUAGAAAGAAAAAGUCCAUCUCAUCUUCACUACAAGCCGUGUAAAAGGGAAAACCCUGUCAACCUGUCAUGUCUCUCAGAGAGAAGCAGCAUACGAAUUUGGACACUGCGAGUGCAACACACACUGGCUCUAGGCCACGAUGAAUGCAGCUGUUGAAAAGACGAAAAGCCACAGAGACUCCGGACUCGAUCAAGAAGAGCGACACGAGCAGUCAGACAGGUCUCCUCAGGUUUUUUUUUCAUUCUCCCAUAC
rnacentral:lncRNA from 1 species